AUGCUCCGUCCUGGUAAUGAGAUCAGGAAUUCUGUCAGUGCCUUUUCUGACCUUGGUGCUGUUUGCAUCCUCGUCUCUGGCUGUCCGAAGAUAAGCAUCAUGGAAGCACCAAACUUGCUGGAGAAUGGAAAUAUUCCACAGCAAAGGAGAUGUCCGUGUUGCAAAGUGGCUUUAUAUACUUCAAUAUUUGGUUUGAUUGCGCUCUCAGUAGUCACCUGUUUGCUCCUUCAUAAACAGCCACCAGAGACAUGCUGGGCACACGGAUUUUUAUUGAACUAUUCUACAUCCAGCAACAAAGCUACCAUGAUCUGGGAGUGGAACUUAAAGCACUGCGAUGACUUGGUGCAGCAGAACCGCAAACACCUGAUAAUCAAGCAGAAUGGCAACUACUUCAUCUACGCUCAGAUCAGCCGCCGAAAGAACGUGACAGAGCUUUUUUCAGUGGAGCUGUACAAAGAGCCAAACAUCAGUCUCAACAAGGCCAUCGGACCAAAGGCGGGGGAUGAAAAGGGCAUGGUAAAUUUUGGUAGGCCUUUCUACCUGCAGAAGGGAGAUACGCUCUACUGCGAGGCAAAUAUCAGUCCUGAAGCUAUUAGGAUGGGGAAUGACACAUAUUGGGGCUUGUAUAAAAUAUAGCAGGGUUCUGCUCUGAGUCAGCUCCUCCCUUACACCCUCCAGGAAACCUUAGGGCACUUAUCGUCAUGGAUGAAGAGCGUGCAAUUUCUCUUCGUAUGAAAUUCAGUUUGCUCGAGCGCAUGCCGUAAGAGGCUGGUACCCUGCAGUGACAGAGUCACUAAAAAAAGGGGGGGAUAGCAAACUUUGGUAAUAAGGGAUGGCACCUGAUCACCACAAAGUGCGAGAGAAAGAUGCUUUUGGGAUGAGGAGUCUUUGAUGCACUGCAGGGUUGCCCCUGAGGUCCUGGAAAGACAAGUCACUAUAUUCAAUCUGUUCCGAGCUGGGGAGGAGCUCUGCUUUGCAGCUGGUUGCAUUUCAGAGCUGGGUAGACGUUGGUACCUUGGGUCCCUUCUAAUGAAAGGUGCCAUGUAAAACUAAGGUAUUCUACACGAUUCCUGCACAGCCUGCCCAUGAAUGGUGCAUAUAGGGUGGGGGGGUGGGGGGUGAGGCAGUUCAGAGACAGUCUGUGAUGAAAGGAAAGCUUCUCCACCCCACCUGCAGCUUUGCCCUCUCUGUGCUACUGGCAAGGGAAACACCACGUUGGAGUUUCCUAAGGGGAAAUUCCUAAGGGAAACACAGCCCCAGGCAGGCAGAGUUGUGGCACGCUGCCCAACCAGGCCGGUGCUGCAGCGGGGAGGUGGGAAAUAUGAGCCAGCAGGGGAGCAGCACGGCCUUCACCUGCUUGGGGAGCUGAGACACUGCUCGCUUCAAGGCCUUGACUACCUACAGCGCUUGCUGGGAUGAACACCAAAUCACCUGCACAUCAAGGGAAGGUCUCAAAGCCUUAGCAAGGGCAAAGUGCUCCUGGAAAACCAGUCUGCUGUGGCCACGUGGUGAUCCAGCUGCCCCAUGGUGUAGUUUUUCUCCCUUGCCUGGGCUCUCCCAGGGGCUAGGUGCUUUGCUUUCCUGCCAGCUCCACCUUAGUGUGUGGAACCCCUCUGCCGUGCCUCAGAGAGCAUCCCAGCCUUAUGGAUGGAUUUGCACAGGAAAGCAAAGCAACUGAGAAGCUGACUGGAAAUAAAUAAUCACUUCGGGUGCUUGGGGUGGGUUGG
rnacentral:lncRNA from 1 species